rnacentral:rRNA from 1 species
GAUGAACGCUGGCGGCGUGCCUAAUACAUGCAAGUCGAGCGAACAGACGAGGAGCUUGCUCCUCUGACGUUAGCGGCGGACGGGUGAGUAACACGUGGAUAACCUACCUAUAAGACUGGGAUAACUUCGGGAAACCGGAGCUAAUACCGGAUAAUAUAUUGAACCGCAUGGUUCAUUAGUGAAAGACGGUUUUGCUGUCACUUAUAGAUGGAUCCGCGCCGCAUUAGCUAGUUGGUAAGGUAACGGCUUACCAAGGCAACGAUGCGUAGCCGACCUGAGAGGGUGAUCGGCCACACUGGAGCUGAGACAGGGUCCAGACUCCUACGGGAGGCAGCAGUAGGGAAUCUGACGCAGUGGGCGAAAGCCUGACGGAGCGACGCCGCGUGAGUGAUGAAGGUGUUCGGAUCGUAAAACUCUGUUAUGAGGGAAAAACAACUGUGUAAGUAACUGUGCACGUCUUGACGGUACCUAAUCAGAAAGCAACGGCUAACUACGUG